CGCGUCCACCGGGUUGCUGGGAGGGGCUGGUAGGAUUGGAGGGCUUGGGGGUGAAGGCGGGAGUGGCAUGAUGUACUCGUCCUGGAACUUGACCAUUCGGGAACCUCGGCCCUUGAAUUCGUGGUACCUCAGCCUCAGGGACACCUUCCUUUCCUAAAUGGGGAACGGGACUCAAAGAGGAACAGCCCAAGGUCAUACAGCGAAUCUGUGGCUUGGAGUGGCUCCCUCCUCUGGAAAAGGCCCAAGAGGACGACCCAGCUGCAGCUCAAGAUGUGGAUGGAGACCUCUGGGGGAGGGGAAACAGGGGAGCCUGGCUCCCCAGCUUCUUGCAUCAGCCUCAGAUGAUGAAAUCACCUCAGAGAUUUUGCAAACAGGAGGAGAGCCAUGCUCCAGAGUGGCAGGGGUGGUCUGGAUAAGGAUCCUGGUGGAAUCCUGCAUAUUCAUAUCUGCAUCUGACGCCAGUGAACCACAUGUCUUAGAACAAGAGGCCGGCAGGGCAUUGAGGCAUUAAGACCUCCCCAUCCUCCAACUGAAAUGGAUGGAGGGAGGUGAGUGGUGCUUGUGAGCCAUCUGCACAGGCAGGUACUUCUUGUGUGUGUUCUUGUUCAUCCUCCAACCUCGUGAGCUAGGUUCUAGUGCUCCUUUUCAAUUUUGCAAGUGGGAAAAUAGAGUCUUAUAAGCAGCCGAGGAUUUGAACUCACGCCUGUAGUUCUAGGCUUCCCAUCACCACUAAGGGAAUGCUUAAGGGGAAGGGAGCAGGACCGGCCUAGCUCUCCUUAAAGGAGCCACAGGCUACAGGCUUAGCCCUCCUGGAUGAUAAUGUUGUGUUUUCAUCAAAACGCUCUCCCUCCCAUCCAUCUCUGGACUUCUUUGGUCCUUACUUCUGGUUUCCUGUUUACCUUAGGUCUUCCCAGACUUCCACCAGUAGGUGACCCUUCUGACUCAUAGUUCCACUGCUGGGAAAUGCCACCAGAGCUGUCCCCCCCUGCAUUCUCUGACGUCCAGGGUGAGCAAGGAGGCACAUGGACUGCAGAUUUGGGCCUCCUAGAUAGUUUCAGGGUUCCAGUUACCCCCACACAUCCCAGCAGCUCCCUCCUGGGCCAUCAAGGAGCAGCUGGGUGGAGGAGGUUCAGACCCUGCCUCCUAGGCUCCGCUGUUCCAAAGUGAGGUCAUAUGGGGAUCCGAGGUGAGAAAGAAGCUUAUGCUUUGCAGUUUGGAGAGAUUUAGAUCAGGUCAGAGAAAGCCUAAAACAGUCUCUGCCCUCGUUGAGCCUUAUCCGGCUUCAGCACUACUGCUGCUCUGUCGCCUUCCCACCUCCUACCUCUUCCCAGCUGCUCUUCUUCCUUCUCUUCUUUCUAAACCCUGAGGUCCCUCAGGGUCAGCUACUGUCUGCAGCCCUCAAUGCUUCACACACACACAUGCACACAUACACACGCACGCACACACACACACACACACACACACACACCCCUGGCACACACCCAUGACAUCUCUCAGGAUCGGCUACUGUAUGCAGCCCCUUAAUAACACACACAUACACACACACACAUGUUUCUCAGCAUCAGCUACUGUGUACAUAUGCAGCCCUCAAAACUUCACACACACACACACACACACACACACACACUCAUACACACACGGGGUGGGGGUGGGGGGGGGGAGAGAGAGAGAGAAAGAGAGAGCAAGCUGGCUCCAAGCCCCUAACUGGACUAGAGUAUAAGCCAUAAGCCUCGACUCCUAUUCUGAGCUGAGUCCCUUCCCCCAGGCAUCUUGGGUCCUCCAUCAUUUCUCCUGACAGGAGCUGUGGGCGUCUGGGCAGAUGGGAUCCUAGGGGAGGUGUGGGAAGCCCCCUCCAAGUCAGGAAGCUCCCACGCAACUGUAGUUAAAAUACUCCAGCAGUGACUUAGGGCAGCCAUCUGGCCCAGAGCUCUCUUAGACACAUUCCACUUUUUAACAGUGAUGCUGUGGGAACAAAUAGAAACACUGAAGGGGAUACCCAUAGAUACCAGAAAUGUUCCCAAAGGUGGUCUCAACUUGAGUCUUCUCUCCCCACCCCCUUUCAGGGGUGGCCCCGGGGCAAUAGCCUUGUAAAAUCUAAAUAAGCCCUGGUGUAAAUGGUGGUGGUGGAUACAGAACUUGAGUUCUAAUCCCAGGCCUUUCCCAGCAGCUGUGUGGGGUUCCGUGGGAGCAGGGGCCUCAGCCUAUUCUUCAACAGUGUCCUCAGCAGAUGUCCAUCUGCAACCUCAGUGUCCGUCCAGAGGCAGGGCCCGUUCUUCCCACCGACAGGAAGCUCAGGACCCCAGAAAAGGUCCACUGAGCUGCAGACUCAGGAGAUCUGAGUGCAGACAUGAACUGAGCCUCACUUCCUGUGUUUAGGAGGAGACAGGCUGAGCCACAGAGGAAACCAGAGUCUGUUAUAAAUAGCAAGGAUGGCAGAGAGCUGUGGGUUUCAAACAUCUAUCAGUCUUAAAACAAACUCUAUUUUUGGCUUCAAAUAUAAUUAGGAUUUAAUUAAUGCUCUAUGUAGCCUCAAAAAUAUAUCUAUUUCUUUUAUUUUUAAGACACGAAGCACAGGUAGCACUGAAACUCAUGAUCCUCCUGCCUCAGUUUCUAGAUAACUCUAGGCAUACCUCAUUGUACGCAGUUCUCUGUCUCUCUCUCUCUCCAGAUUUUGAGACAGGGUUUCUCGAUGUAGCCCUGAUUGUUUUAAACUCACUCUGUAUUCCAGA